rnacentral:sRNA from 1 species
AUUCUCACUCAAUUUCUAGCUGAGCGUCAUAUGCCUGACUGAUGGCCAACGUCCUGUCAGUUCACUGUGUUCCCAUGUGCUAUGUCCGCCAAGACAUGUUUGUAGAGUGAUCCAGCAAUGUGCUAACCCUAUCCGCUGUCCACCACCAAUACCUAUUUGUGUUCCCUGUGUGCCAAAAGGUGUGGAUGAUUUAUGUAACAGAAAUGGCUUUUGCGACACAUUACUUACUGUCUUUCCUGGCAACCCUUUUAGUUUACAACCCAGGACAUGCCCAGAAAGAAAUUGUCCCUAUGACUCUGUGUGUAUAGUAGAUGGUAUAACAAGAAUUGCACACUGUUGCUAUAACCGGGUACCACUACCCACCACCAAGGAUCCUAUCUGUAUGUGAACUGAUACAGACCGUUUCCAUGUUGGUCAAAGGUGUGAGCUGGUGAUCAUCUGUACAUUAGUAGAUCCUUGUUACCAAGAGUACCAGUGCCUGCCACUAACUCCACAUUUUGGUCUGACAUUAAGUUCGGGGAAAAAAUAAAUUCAACUUCAAUAGACUAA